rnacentral:rRNA from 1 species
CGCGUUCAAGUCGCGCGUGCCCGCGGCCUCCCCGGCACGCGCCGCCUACACCGCCGCACGCUCGAGGCCAUGCGCCUCCGCCGCUGCCACCGCACCGUCGAUCACCUCACCGCGGCCCCCUCCCUCCUCGGCAUUCUUACCCAUUUCAAGCGCCUCGUCGCCGUUGAGACCCAGGAGAUGUACGACGCGCGGAGGCACGCCGACGAGCUGCGCCGCGCGCCCAGGCCGCCGCUCGUCGUAUCGCACCAUCCUCCGAUGCCGACCGCGCAGUAG